rnacentral:lncRNA from 1 species
UUUAGCAAACAAACAAGACAAGAAGAAAGCCCUCAUGCCUUGUGAUAUUAUUGACUAUCUACUUCUAAAGAAGCUAGUGAAAGAGAAUAAGUGCCCAUGCCGAGUAGAGCCAUGUUCAGCCAUCAGAAACCUUGAAAGAAGAAACCAUCAGCCCAUAGUUGAAGGACUGCGCUGGCUAUUAGCUGUCAUUGAUACUUGCCAACUACCACCUACCUCGAGCAUCUCAAUCUCCAAGAAUAACACAGGCUCUGGAGAAAGAUGCUCAUCACACAGCUUCUCCACCAGAACAGGAAUGUCAAAGGAGAAAAGACAGCAUCUAGAACAAUGCUCAAUCGAAGCUAAGCCUCUAAAGUCAAUCCUACAGAAAGAAGCCAUCAAAUCAAUCCUAUACUCACUGAGAGGCUCAAGAAGAGUGAGAUGGCAUCCAUUGAGAAUGAAGACCACCUUGGUAAAAAAGAACAGAGACUUUACAUCUUUGUACCGAGAUGC